rnacentral:tRNA from 1 species
GUCAGAAUGGCCGAGCGGUUAAGGCACCAGACUCAUAAGCAAAACAACACUGAAUAUCUAAACUCUAUGCAGUGUACGGAUUGCCAUCACUUAAUGUAUUCCAAGGUCUAAGGUCUUUAAACAAAUACACACAAUCCACAACUUGAAUACUUUUCUCCAAACAAAUAUGUUGAGCGAUCUGGAUUUCAAAGUGCGUGCAAUUCUCCGUGCACCGCACUUUGAAACGUGGGUUCGAAUCCCACUUCUGGCA